GUGGGGAAUAUUGGACAAUGGGCGCAAGCCUGAUCCAGCCAUGCCGCGUGAGUGAUGACGGCCUUAGGGUUAUAAAGCUCUUUCAGUGGGGACGAUAAUGACGGUACCCACAGAAGAAGCCCCGGCUAACUUCGUGCCAGCAGCCGCGGUAAUACGAAGGGGGCUAGCGUUGUUCGGAUUUACUGGGCGUAAAGCGCACGUAGGCGGGUCGUUAAGUCGGGGGUGAAAUCCUGGAGCUCAACUCCAGAACUGCCUUCGAUACUGGCGACCUAGAGUCCGGAAGAGGUGGGUGGAACUCCUAGUGUAGAGGUGGAAUUCGUAGAUAUUAGGAAGAACGCCAGUGGCGAAGGCGGCUCACUGGUCCGGUACUGACGCUGAGGUGCGAAAGCGUGGGGAGCAAACAGGAUUAGAAACCCCUGUAGUCC
rnacentral:rRNA from 1 species